AUUUAGCUAUUUUUUUGGGAAAACUUUAAAUGCCAACCACGUGGUUUCACAUUUUCUCACUUCAGUACUUUAUGAUUUUUUUUUUUUUGUUAUUUCAUCUUCUAAUUUUUUUCAUUAAAUCAGUGACAAAGUUAAAACUAAAAGGUACUAAAGUGAAUAUUCAAUAAACUAUAAGUGGAGUAUCUGAAGUUUUUUGUAUAUAAUUUAACGAAAAGUUAACGGAGGGACUAACGAAAAUAAAAAAAUAAAAUCACAGAGUCUUAAAUUGAUACACUGUAAAUCAUAGGAUACUCGAAAGUACGAAACCGCAUGGGUGAUAUUUAAAGUUUAUCCUUUUUUUUAAGUAUUAAACUGGAGUGCUCCUUGAAGCACGAUACUUCUAACUUUUUGGCCUUUAGAUUGCUAGAAUUUAGUGUUAGUGGUGAUUUUAUUAUAAAUCUAAAAAAUGCAAAAAUUAU
rnacentral:lncRNA from 1 species